GUACACAAUCACAAGAGAGACCUCGGCAAAAAAUGACACAAGAUUUUUUACCGAGGUUCACUUGCUUCCCGGCAAGCUACUCCUCGUUGUGGCGAUACACCCACUUGAUGGAUCACGAGCUAAUUGGCAGUCCAAAGCCAAACCCUCAGCGGGUGCCGCACAUCCACUCAUAAGAUGGGGAUCCUCCAAGCCACGAGCAGUCCACUAGAGUAACCAAUUUACGAUCUCCCGCGGAAAAGGCUCAAGAACCCCUCACAAAUCACUUGGUGAGGCUCAAAACAAUCUCCAAUCACGAGCUCAACACCACCGCUGCUCCAAGCCGUCUAGGGCGUCGGGAAACACCCAAGAGUAACAAGAAAUCCGCAGCAAACUCAAGAAUCAAGUGCCACUAAAUGCAACUCUCAAAGCAAUGCACUUGAAACUCACUCAAUCUCACUAGGAUGAGCAAUCAAGCAAGGAGAUGAGUGAAAAGAGUGUUCUCUAGCUCAAUGUAUGCCUCUAGUAUUCAAAUGUGCAAGAGCCAGCCUCCCAAAGCCGGCCACCUUCAAUUUAUAAGCCCCCUCAAAGAACUAGCCGUUGGCUGUUGACGGUCCUUAAGUAUCAAAUUUAAUUAUCAAAUAAAUAAAGAAAAGGAUCCAAAUGAAAUCAACAUCUAGACUUAGGGUUUUAUCUGACAGAAUUCCACGAGUUUUGGUGUUUGUCUAUUUCUACAGGGGGUUAUCAGGAAAUAUGGAAGAAAGGCCCACACAUCGGGAUUACAUAGAGAUAUUAACGUGCCGCGCAAUUAUCUUACAUCUAGAAGACUCCAGAAGCCACGAGACCGAAGUGGAGGCUUACCACGAGACUCCAGAAGCCACGAGACCACAGUAGAGGCUUACCGAAGUGGAGCCCCAUGUGAAAAAACAGUAAGCCCCAUGUGAGUAUAUGAGUGGCAUAAAACCCAUAAGUACAUUCACUGUGGUGGCAUAAAAAUAAAAUAAAAAUUUCUGUUCUGCUUUAUAAAAUAAAAAUAUAAAAACAGGGAGUAAUAAUUAUUAAGGAGUCUCAACAUGAUAAAGGCUAGAUAUUUAUGCUAACACUUAAUCAGUUCCACAAGCUUUGUUGUUUAUUUGAGCUCCACAGAAUUUAAGAAUCAAAGAAGACUAGCAGACGGAGGACAUUCUAAUCGCUGUCAGAAUGCUGCUGACUUUCAAAUACACCUCUGUCACCUGCUAGCUACAUCAAGAGAAAUUACGUCAAAAUUCAGCUUG
rnacentral:lncRNA from 1 species